CAGUCGCCACGGGAAUACGUAGGGUGCGAGCGUUAAUCGGAAUUACUGGGCGUAAAGCGUGCGCAGGCGGUUGUGUAAGACAGGUGUGAAAUCCCCGGGCUUAACCUGGGAACUGCGCUUGUGACUGCACAGCUAGAGUAUGGCAGAGGGGGGUGGAAUUCCACGUGUAGCAGUGAAAUGCCUAGAGAUGUGGAGGAACACCGAUGGCGAAGGCAGCCCCCUGGGCCAAUACUGACGCUCAUGCACGAAAGCGUGGGGAGCAAACAGGAUUAGAUACCCCCGUAGUCCCUGUCUCUUAUAC
rnacentral:rRNA from 1 species